rnacentral:rRNA from 1 species
GACGAACGCUGGCGGCGUGCUUAACACAUGCAAGUCGAACGAAGAGCGAUGGAAGCUUGCUUCUAUCAAUCUUAGUGGCGAACGGGUGAGUAACGCGUAAUCAACCUGCCCUUCAGAGGGGGACAACAGUUGGAAACGACUGCUAAUACCGCAUACGAUCUAAACUCGGCAUCGAGGAGAGAGGAAAGGUGGCCUCUACAGGUAAGCUAUCACUGAAGGAGGGGAGUGCGUCUGAUUAGCUAGAUGGAGGGGUAACGGCCCACCAAGGCGAUGAUCAGUAGCCGGUCUGAGAGGAUGGACGGCCACAUUGGGACUGAGACACGGCCCAGACUCCUACGGGAGGCAGCAGUGGGGAAUCUUCCGCAAGAGGCGGAAGUCUGACGGGGCAACGCCGCGUGAGUGAUGACGGCCUUCGGGUUGUAAAGCUCUGUUAAUCGGGACGAAAGGCCUUCUUGCGAAUAGUGAGAAGGAUUGACGGUACCGGAAUAGAAAGCCACGGCUAACUACGUG